AGAGAUGGCAGGCGGAGGACACCGGCGCGUCGUGGGCACCCUCCACCUGCUGCUGCUGGUGGCCGCCCUGCACUGGGCAUCCAGGGGGGUCAGUCCGAGUGCCUUAGCCUGGCCAGAGGAGAAGAAUUAUCACCAACCAGCCAUUUUGAAUUCAUCGGCUCUUCGGCAAAUUGCAGAAGGCACCAGUAUCUCUGAAAUGUGGCAAAAUGACUUACAGCCGUUGCUGGUAGAGCGAUACCCGGGAUCCCCUGGAAGCUAUGCUGCUCGUCAGUGAGUGGAGAUCUGAAAUAACCCCAACCACCCCCUAGCUAUGGGAGCUUUCUACAUUUUCCUUAGCAGCACAUCAUGCAGCGAAUUCAGAGGCUUCAGGCUGACUGGGUCUUGGAAAUAGACACCUUCUUGAGUCAGACACCCUAUGGGUACCGGUCUUUCUCAAAUGUCAUCAGCACCCUCAAUCCCACUGCUAAACGACAUUUGGUCCUCGCCUGCCACUAUGACUCCAAGUAUUUUUCCCACUGGAACAACAGAGUGUUUGUAGGAGCCACUGAUUCAGCCGUGCCAUGUGCAAUGAUGUUGGAACUUGCUCGUGCCUUGGACAAGAAACUCCUUUCCUUAAAGGUAUCUGUUUUCUGCUUGUUGAUUCCUAGGAUAAAGUACAUUAGCAGUAACUCAGAGUGAAUUCUAGAAUCCUUGGAGGAAUGAGAAGGCCAUUUAGAAAUGGAGACUUUUGGUACAUUUUUAUUGUGAAUAUUAAUUGAAAGAUUGCAUGAUUUGGAAUAUCAACCAUGGGCAAUAAACCUAAGAUACGUGGCA
rnacentral:sRNA from 1 species